AGAGUUUGAUCCUGGCUCAGGACGAACGCUGGCGGCGCGCUUAACACAUGCAAGUCGAGCGAGAACCAUUCCUUCGGGAAUGGGGACAGCGGCGAACGGGUGAGUAACACGUGGGUAAUCUGCCCUCGAUUCUGGGAUAGCCCGGGGAAACCCGGAUUAAUACCGGAUAGCCUCUCGAGCUUACGAGCUCGCGAGAAAAGGUAGCUUCGGCCUCCGAUCGAGGAUGAGCCCGCGGCGGAUUAGCUUGUUGGUGGGGUAAUGGCCUACCAAGGCGACGAUCCGUAGCUGGUCUGAGAGGACGAUCAGCCACACUGGGACUGAGACACGGCCCAGACUCCUACGGGAGGCAGCAGUGGGGAAUCUUGCGCAAUGGGCGAAAGCCUGACGCAGCGACGCCGCGUGGGGGAAGAAGGCCUUCGGGUUGUAAACCUCUUUCAGCAGGGACGAAGCCACUCGGGUUAAUAGCCCAGAGGGUGACGGUACCUGCAGAAGAAGCCCCGGCUAACUACGUGCCAGCAGCCGCGGUA
rnacentral:rRNA from 1 species